rnacentral:lncRNA from 1 species
GUGUGGCAUGUGUACUUGAUCAUGUGUAUGUCUGCACAUAACGUGCACAUAGGUGUAGAGGACAGAGGUUGACUUUGGGUGUUUUCCUCCAUCACUCUUCCUCCUUAGGUUUUCACCGAAGGUCUCUCACUGAACCUGUGAUUCAUCAGUUCAGACAGGCUGGCUAGCCAGCAAGUUUCCAAGAUCUACAUGUCUGCCCUCUCAGGCCUGGGGUUAUCAGCCAUAUUAGAUGAGCACUUUACUAACUGAAUCAUCUACUACACCCUGUGGAAACAAUGUAUCCAGGGGAUUUUUAUCUGGGGCUUUCUUAUUCAUCUACUUUAUCUUCUUUCUAAGUAUCCUUUCCUGGCAUUUGUUACAUCACAGGCUUUUGUAUCUGUAUUUCUUGACUCCUUCCUAGUUAUUUCAGUCCUGCUUUCCCUUUUUUGUUAUCUUAGCCGGGACUCUUAAAGCGUGUGUGGGCAGCUGCUCCUCUGUGGCCUUUAUGGGCCUCUCCUCUUGAGAAAGUACUUUAUUAAGGCAAACCGCAGCUCCUGUCAGUCAGUCAGUUUCAGGGCUACAAGUACUACUUAUCAUUCUCCUCCAUAGUCAAUGCAAGUUCUAUGUCCCUUAGGUUGUUUCUUCCAUAAGCCUAAGGGCUUUGCUUGUAUGACCCAAAUCCUCAUUCCUGAAUUUAAAAAAAAAAAUGUGUAUCAGUAAUUAUUUAUAUCUUACUCUGGAAUUGCUGCACAUAUCCUUCCAAAUUACAAUUUGGAAUCAAAAUGUUCCCAGAUCAGUUACCUAUAUGUUUUUCUCUGCCUACCAUCAUUUUGGUUUCCUAUUGCUCUAGCUCAGUUACCACUGCCAAGAUGGGAAAUCCUUGCCUGCUCAUACCUGGAUCCAGAGUUCAAAAUA